AGCGAACGCUGGCGGCAGGCUUAACACAUGCAAGUCGGGCGGGCACUUUCGGGUGUCAGCGGCGGACGGGUGAGUAACGCGUGGGAACGUGCCCUCUGGUUCGGAAUAACUCAGGGAAACUUGAGCUAAUACCGGAUACGCCCUUUUGGGGAAAGGCUUGCUGCCGGAGGAUCGGCCCGCGUCUGAUUAGCUAGUUGGUGAGGUAACGGCUCACCAAGGCGACGAUCAGUAGCUGGUCUGAGAGGAUGAUCAGCCACACUGGGACUGAGACACGGCCCAGACUCCUACGGGAGGCAGCAGUAGGGAAUAUUGGACGAUGGGCGCAAGCCUGAUCAAGCCAUGCCGGGUGAGUGAUGAAGGCCUUAGGGUUGUAAAGCUCUUUUAUCCGGGACGAUAAUGACGGUACCGGAGGAAUAAGCCCCGGCUAACUUCGUG
rnacentral:rRNA from 1 species